rnacentral:snoRNA from 1 species
CGACGGCGGUGAUGAUGCUGGAGGCGACGGCGGACGGGCUGGACCCCUCAGGUGGGACAACCUAUGGGACGACGACCCACCACAGUGAGUCAGUGACGGCGUGAUGCCCUGAUACACCG